GACGAACGCUGGCGGCGUGCCUAACACAUGCAAGUCGAACGGAGAAGUUCAGCAAUGGAUUUCUUAGUGGCGAACGGGUGAGUAACGCGUAGACAACCUGCCUCUAAGCUGGGGACAACAACUCGAAAGGGUUGCUAAUACCGAAUGUGAACAGUGCCUCGCAUGAGAUGCUGUUUGAAGGUGGCCCCUGAAUAUGCUACCGCUUAGAGAUGGGUCUGCGUCUGAUUAGCUAGUUGGAGGGGUAAUGGCCCACCAAGGCGACGAUCAGUAGCCGGUCUGAGAGGAUGAACGGCCACACUGGGACUGAGACACGGCCCAGACUCCUACGGGAGGCAGCAGUGGGGAAUCUUCCGCAAUGGACGAAAGUCUGACGGAGCAACGCCGCGUGAGUGAAGAAGGCCCUCGGGUCGUAAAGCUCUGUCUUCAGGGACGAAUGUGCAGAUUGUGAAUAAUGGUUUGUAAUGACGGUACCUGAGGAGGAAGCCACGGCUAACUACGUGCCAGCCGCCGCAGUAA
rnacentral:rRNA from 1 species